rnacentral:miRNA from 19 species
CCCUUCAACACAAGGCUGAAGGGUCAGCAAGGGUGUGUGACUCUACUAUCUGAACUGUGCGAUUUGAUUGCCUCGUAAUGAGGCGUACAUAAAGCUUUUGAUUGUAGAGUCAUGCACCUCUACUGGGCCUUCAGUCUAAUUUUUCUGC